GCCUCGAUAGUCUAAAAGGCUUAAGACGCUCGUACGGAAUACAAGAGAUCCAGGUUCGACUCCCGACCGAGGUA
rnacentral:tRNA from 1 species